UAUAUUGGGAAACGAUGAGGGGAAGCAGACGUGAUGGGGAGGGGAGGAGUGGUGUUUCCACACAAUACCAUAAGACCUCAGUCAUCCCGAAUAUAUUACCAUAAAAGCACAAGAAAGAUGUCAAUUCAAUUUUGCCAUCUUCUGGCAGGACAAAGCACAGGCUGCUGUUUGGAGACUGCUUGCCGAUGAGAUAGACGCCACCAUGCUGGAAGAGUGACAGCAGCACAAAAGGCUGUAAUGCAAUCACUCCGUCUUCUCUGGUCAAGCUUCUCCAGGAUGGCACAUCCGUACAAGACAUUGCAAGGUUUGCUGCAUUUCCCAACACAGUCUUAAGAGUCUUAAGAGUGUGGAGAAGACAUGAGGUGAGCUGGGCAGGACUGUAGAAAGGGCAAUAACCCAGCAGCAGGCCCAUAUCUGCUUUUUUUUUUUUUUUUGCAUGGGGGGCAGCAGGAGUGCUGCCAGAGCCUUAAAAAUUAACCUACAGUGGACUACUCGUUAUUCUGAGCAGUGUUUAGCAAAGUGCAAAGAAAAAAAAACAGUGAAAGAUAGAGAGCAGAUGAUCAUGAAGGGUGUAAUGCUCAGAACUGAACAGUAAUGGACCCAAAGCAGAAACAUUCACAAACACUAAGAAAGGACUGGACUGUAAAUACACUGAGGGCUGAUUGUGAGUAGGAAACAGCAGAGGAAUGAGACACAGGUCACAGGUGAAAACAAACAGCACAAUAACAAAGUGGGAUGUAAAACAAACACAAAGGAAGAAGGAAGCCCGAUUCAGAUCCCAGAGACAAGAAGUCUCAAUAUACAUGAAGACAGAGAGAAAUGAACUUUUGAGCACUCAGAUGCAUCCACACAGGAAAUCAAAUCAGGAAUGAACAGACAGGGAACUAAACUAAUAUUUAGGGAACUAAACACAAACAACAAACUCAAAGCAGGAACUUCUUAGGAAUAAUCCUAGAACAGAAACCAGAACCUAGUCUGCAUUCUGCAAAAACAUGAAAGCUUAAUAUACUAGAAUACACAUUUGAAGCAUGAACUGUAACACAGGACACCUCACAAGAAAAUUCACUUUAGAAUAAUAACAAAAUGAAAACAGGAACCCAACAUUUCAAAUGCCGGGAUAAUUGAACCCAAACUCAGAGAUAAUCAAAACCCUGUGACUGUGACAACAGCACAGCAGAAAAAGACAUAAUGACUAGUUUGAGGAAGGAGUGGAGAAAGAAGAGCACCCAGGUAUCAAUGCAUGUCUGCAUGUAUCACUAUGGGACUGUCUGUGAUGUCGAUAUUACAGAGUGCUGUUAACGAGACAUCAGACAGCUGCCCUACUUUCUAUAUUUUUACCCCGUCGUGUCGUGUGGAACUAUUGGCAGUUCUUCCAUAACAGCUUGUGUUGCUUUGAUCGAGAAUAUAUACAAAUGAAGCCACUGCAGGUGCUGCAAGAAGAAAUGAUAAUAAUUGUCAGGUAUGCUAUCUUGGUUGUAUGUAUUUGUGUUCAGUGUUUUGAGACACAGGGGCACCAGCAGUCGGCCAAUUACUAUGAAAACCCACACAAACUUCUCUGCGUGUAAUAGCUGAGACUCAGUGAUGUUGCUUUUAGUUGGAAUAAACCCAGAUACGAUUAAGCUACAUGAAGCAGUAAAUCCUUGCAAUGAAUUGUCAGCAAAUGAUGGGAACAGAUGUGUGGUUGGAGUAGGAUGCACCGGGCUCUCUUUGCAUGCUUUCUGCUGUUCAGUUGAACGCUGCACAUUCACAAAAUUGAGAAGCAGCUACAGAAGAAAAAUAAACAUCCAAUCUCAUCUUCUGUGUGAAAUUGGACAUUAUGGAAUAGAUUCAUCAUUCACAUCAGACAAGAAAAAAAACAACCUAAUGGGAUUGUUUUUUUUUUUGUUUAUGCUGAUUAGACACUAGAAUCUAAAGAACAUUACGCUGAUGCAAUGUGAUGGAUUAUCAGACUGUGAACAGAGUGACAGGUUAUUUCUUCAAUACGGCUUCAAAAAGGCAGGGAGUUUGGGUAAGCAAAUACAGAUAGAUCAGUGAUUUGUUGGACAAAGACACUAUUUUUGUACUUUUGCCCCUCUACACCACAACAGCACAGUUUUGUAUUUAAUAAAUGAAAUGCUGUUCUGUUGGGUUGGCAUCAGGUUAUUGCCUUGGCCAUUGAAUUUUCCAUAUCACAUAUCUGUGCUAUAUCUUUGAGAAACUCUUAUGUUGGUUUUGCAUUUUGCUUUGAGUCAUGAUCCUUUUUGCAUCGUGCGUCCCUGUUAAACUAAUUUUGGAGCAUUUGUCUGAUUCUGUGCAGCGAAUAUAGCCCUGCACCAGUGACCCCAGGUCCAUUGGCAACCAUACAUCCUGCCAUCAUAACACUGCCUUCACCAUGUUUGACAGAUGGUCGUAUAUGCUUCAGAUCAUGAGCCGUUCCUUCCCUUCUCCAUACUUUUAUCUGCCUAUUUGGUUCAUCUUGUAUCAUCUGUCCAAAAGGUUUCCAGAAGUUUACAAAGCAGUGUUUUAUGGCAAAGUCUAAUUUUCAAAUCCUUUGUAUUUCCAUUCAUGAAGGCAUCUGUUGAUUGUAGAGUUAACCCACCUCUUUGGGAGUGACCUUGACUUGGCUCUAUGUUGUUGUGUUUCUUAACCUUGGAAAUAAUUCUGUCAUCAUGCACUUUCCUUGUUUUCUGACAUCAUUCAGGCAUUUCGGUGUUCCUGAGUAGGUCAGAAUAGUCAUCAUUUUUAAGAAUGGACAACACUCUUGAUUAGGCCACUCCUGAUGUCUCUCCAGCAGGUUUAUUUUGUUUUUAUAUGCAAUUACAGUAAAAAGCUUUGAAAGCUUCAUUUUGUCAAGGGAACAAGGCUCCUGUAGCCAUUAAACUGCAGUCAUUCGUCCAAUUAAUUUUGAUGCUCUGAAGAUGAGGAACUACUUAUAAAAUUUUUUGUAAUUCCUUAAAAUUUAAUGAAAUGUUUUUGUCAAACACUUGAAUUAAAGCUGAAAAUGUGCACUCCAAUCACAUCUUGAUUUAACAUCUACUAUGAUGUGUACAGCAAAACUACAUCAGAACGUAUGUUUUAUCCAACACAUUAGGAACCUCACUUUACAUCUACUGUGUGUUUUUCUAUUGAAUGGAGGAUUUAAAUCUGCAGUCAACUUUCCUUACUGGUUUCAGGUAGCAGGUGGUUAACGUGAAAUGAAUAUGAAAUGGAAAAUGCCUUCAAGUCUUUCCAACGUGUGAAGAAAGGAUCACCCAACGGCUGAAAAAAGGUGCCCCAAAUCAAGUCAAUUAUAAUUAAAUGCUGCAUCCACAAGAUCUUCUUUUUACCUCAUGGUUUACUGGGAUUGAGUCUUCAAUUGAAAACUGCUGAUUUUUAUUACAGAGAAGCAACAACGCAUCAAGAAGACAUAAAUGACAACAGACAUCAAGCAAACACCCCCACAGCUGGUGGGACUCAGUCUGGUUGCUUUGACCAAAUGUUCCAUGAGGAAUUUCCCAGAAAUCACAUGCUCAUCAUUACAUGUUCUUGGCAGGCCUUUUCAUCCUGAUAUUACCUAACUAAGCAUCCCAAAAGGAAACAGCUGAUGAGGAGAACCUCACAAAAACCUGAAUGGUUUGACUCUGGAAGAAAACAAUCACAUCAGAUGACAAAGCCUUAUUGAUCUGUUUGAUUUUGUUUAUGUCUCUUUGAGAGCUUCGCCCUUGAGUGUACCUGGCUGCCAAACACAGUCAACAAGAGUCCAUUAAUUUGCUGCUGAGAAGCUACUUACAGCUCCUUGCUAAUGGCUGAUUUUUCCACCACUCUCUCAUGUCUUUCAUCAGUGGUAGUGGGUGGAAGGAGUGUGUUUGUGAGGAGAGUUAUUGGUGAUAGGGUAGUGAUGGCAGAGUGGGGGUGUCCAGGCAGUAAUUCUUGAUUCACCUCCUGUGCUGUAACAUGGGUCUGAGCUUCAGCCAUAUUGGCAUAGCCAUUAUUUUCAAUGCAUGCAUUAGAAAGAGCCAAAGUGAAAAACCUUUGAUGGUUUCAGUCUUCUUGAUGCACACAAACAGGACUCAGAACCAAUGCCACAGCUGCAGGACAGCAUUCACGUUUUUGGAGAGGAGAUUGGGAAACACAAAGAUUCAGAAUCGGGUUUGCUCAUGCCGUGGCAGCUUGCAAUGGAACGCGAUAAAUAACAGGUCAUCAAGGUGAUAAAGCAUUGAGCUGGAAAUGGGAUUGUGCCUGUAAGGCAGCGGACCAGGCAGCACAA